AUACUUACCUGGCAGGGGAGACACUGUGAUCACCAAGGCAGUUCUCCCAGGGUGAGGAUCACCCAUUGCACUCCGGGUGUGCUGACCCCUGCGAUUUCCCCAAAUGCGGGAAACUCGACUGCUUAAAAAAAAAGUUUUUUUAUAAGGUUUUUUA
rnacentral:snRNA from 1 species